rnacentral:rRNA from 1 species
GAUGAACGCUGGCGGCGUGCCUAAUACAUGCAAGUCGAGCGAACAGACGAGGAGCUUGCUCCUCUGACGUUAGCGGCGGACGGGUGAGUAACACGUGGAUAACCUACCUAUAAGACUGGGAUAACUUCGGGAAACCGGAGCUAAUACCGGAUAAUAUAUUGAACCGCAUGGUUCAAUAGUGAAAGACGGUUUUGCUGUCACUUAUAGCUGGAUCCGCGCCGCAUUAGCUAGUUGGUAAGGUAACGGCUUACCAAGGCGACGAUGCGUAGCCGACCUGAGAGGGUGAUCGGCCACACGGGAACUGAGACGCGGUCCAGACUCCUACGGGAGGCAGCAGUAGGGAAUCUUCCGCAAUGGGCGAAAGCCUGACGGAGCAACGCCGCGUGAGUGAUGAAGGUCUUCGGAUCGUAAAACUCUGUUAUUAGGGAAGAACAAAUGUGUAAGUAACUAUGCACGUCUUGACGGUACCUAAUCAGAAAGCCACGGCUAACUACGUG